ACGAACGCUGGCGGCGCGCCUAACACAUGCAAGUCGAACGAGCGAGAGGAGGUUUACUUUCUCAAGCGAGUGGCGAACGGGUGAGUAACGCGUGAGGAACCUGCCUCAAAGAGGGGGACAACAGUUGGAAACGACUGCUAAUACCGCAUAAGCCCACGACCCGGCAUCGGGUAGAGGGAAAAGGAGCAAUCCGCUUUGAGAUGGCCUCGCGUCCGAUUAGCUAGUUGGUGAGGUAAUGGCCCACCAAGGCGACGAUCGGUAGCCGGACUGAGAGGUUGAACGGCCACAUUGGGACUGAGACACGGCCCAGACUCCUACGGGAGGCAGCAGUGGGGAAUAUUGCACAAUGGGGGAAACCCUGAUGCAGCGACGCCGCGUGGAGGAAGAAGGUCUUCGGAUUGUAAACUCCUGUUGUUGAGGAAGAUAAUGACGGUACUCAACAAGGAAGAGACGGCUAACUACGUG
rnacentral:rRNA from 1 species